AGAGUUUGAUCAUGGCUCAGAACGAACGCUGGCGGCAGGCCUAACACAUGCAAGUCGAACGUGAAGCCACCUUCGGGUGGUGGAAAGUGGCAGACGGGUGAGUAACGCGUGGGAACGUGCCUUUCGGUUCGGGAUAACCCAGGGAAACUUGGGCUAAUACCGGAUACGCCCUUCGGGGGAAAGAUUCAUUGCCGAAAGAUCGGCCCGCGUCGGAUUAGCUAGUUGGUGGGGUAAAAGCCUACCAAGGCGACGAUCCGUAGCUGGUCUGAGAGGAUGACCAGCCACACUGGGACUGAGACACGGCCCAGACUCCUACGGGAGGCAGCAGUGGGGAAUAUUGGACAAUGGGCGCAAGCCUGAUCCAGCCAUGCCGCGUGGGUGAAGAAGGCCCUAGGGUUGUAAACCCCUUUCAGCGGGGAAGAUAAUGACGGUACCCGCAGAAGAAGCCCCGGCUAACUCCGUGCCAGCAGCCGCGGUAAUACGGAGGGGGCUAGCGUUGUUCGGAAUUACUGGGCGUAAAGCGCGCGUAGGCGGACCUGCAAGUCGGGGGUGAAAGCCCGAGGCUCAACCUCGGAACUGCCUUCGAUACUGCGGGUCUCGAGUCCGGGAGAGGUGAGUGGAAUUCCUAGUGUAGAGGUG
rnacentral:rRNA from 1 species